GAUGAACGCUAGCUACAGGCUUAACACAUGCAAGUCGCGGGGUAACAUUUGGUAGAGCUUGCUCUUCCAGGAUGACGACCGGCGCACGGGUGAGUAACGCGUGGAUAACCUGCCUCAUACAGGGGGAUAACAGCCGGAAACGGCUGCUAAUACCGCAUAAGCGCACGGUACCGCAUGGUACAGUGUGAAAAACUCCGGUGGUAUGAGAUGGACCCGCGUCUGAUUAGGUAGUUGGUGGGGUAACGGCCCACCAAGCCGACGAUCAGUAGCCGACCUGAGAGGGUGACCGGCCACAUUGGGACUGAGACACGGCCCAAACUCCUACGGGAGGCAGCAGUGGGGAAUAUUGCACAAUGGGGGAAACCCUGAUGCAGCGACGCCGCGUGAGCGAAGAAGUAUUUCGGUAUGUAAAGCUCUAUCAGCAGGGAAGAAAAUGACGGUACCUGACUAAGAAGCACCGGCUAAAUACGUG
rnacentral:rRNA from 1 species